GACGAACGCUGGCGGCGUGGAUUAGGCAUGCAAGUCGGACGGUAGGGCUUUAUCGUAAGAUAGAGUUUGAGAGUGGCGAACGGGUGAGUAACACGUAGGAAUCUACCCUUAAGACGGGGACAACCCAGGGAAACUUGGGCUAAUACCGGAUGAGAGUGCGAGAGAUUGCAUUUAAAAGGAUGGCGAAAGUUGUCGCUUAGGGAUGAGCCUGCGGUCUAUUAGUUAGUUGGUGAGGUAAUGGCUCACCAAGGCGACGAUCCUUAGCUGGUCUGAGAGGACGACCAGCCACACUGGGACUGAGACACGGCCCAGACUCCUACGGGAGGCAGCAGUGGGGAAUAUUGGACAAUGGGCGCAAGCCUGAUCCAGCCAUGCCGCGUGAGUGAUGAAGGCCUUAGGGUUGUAAAGCUCUUUUGCCGGGACGAUAAUGACGGUACCCGAGAAUAAGUCCCGGCUAACUUCGUG
rnacentral:rRNA from 1 species